UCCGUAAGUGAACCUGCGGAUGGAUCAUUU
rnacentral:rRNA from 1 species